rnacentral:rRNA from 1 species
GAAUCCGCYAAGGAGUGUGUAACAACUCACCUGCCGAAUGAACUAGCCCUGAAAAUGGAUGACGCUUAAGCGGGCAGCCGACACCAGGCCGUUUUUGUAAGAUGUGACAAAAAUGAGUAGGAGGGCGUGGUGGUCAUGUUGCGAAGGGUCAGACGCGAGUCUACCUGAAACGGUCACUAGUGCAGAUCUUGGUGGUAGUAGCAAAUAUUCAAGCGAGAUCCUUGAAGGGCGAAGCGAGGAAGGGUUCCACGCGAACAUUGAUUGGGCGUGGGUGAGUCGUUCCUAAGCCGGGUGGUAAUCGUUCUACGAUCGGCGAAAGGGAAGCGGGUUAAAAUUCCUGCACACGGAUGUGAAAGCGGUGACGCAAAUUGAGAUGGAGACGUUAGCGGUGGCGCUGGGCAGAGUUGUCUUUUCUGUUUGACCUGUGAGUGCACACUGUGGAAUCCGAUUAUCGGGAGAAACAGGUGCCGAUGGGCAGAGCGUCGGGGCAUUCCCGGCGUCCAGAACGCCACCGAUAGCCCUUGAAAAUCCAUCUGCAACAAUUCAAAUUUCACGCCGUGGCGUACCGAUAACCGCAUCAGGUCCUCAAGGUGAACAGCCUCUGCUCAAUAUGAACAAUGCAGGUAAGGGAAGUCGGCA